AAGGGCCGCGGUAUUUCUGACCGUGCGAAGGUAGCAUAAUCAAUAGUCUUUUAAUUGAAGGCUUGUAUGAAAGGUUGGACGAAAAACACACUGUUUAAAUGAAACAUUUGAAUUUAACUUUUAGGUGAAAAGGCUUAAAUGAGUUAAAAAGACGAUAAGACCCUAUAAAUCUUGACAUUUAUUUUUGUUUUUCUGAUUUAUUAAAGUGAAUAUAAAAGGUGGUUAUGUUGGGGCAACAAUAAUAUAGUAAUGUUAAUUAUUAGAGUAAUUAAACAAAGAAUUUGUUGAUGAUCCUUGUUAAAGAUUUAAAGAUUAAGUUACUUUAGGGAUAACAGCGUUAUUUUUUCUGAGAGUUCUUAUCGAAGAAAAAGAUUGCGACCUCGAUGUUGAAUUAAAAGAUCUUUUUAAUGUAGCAGUU
rnacentral:rRNA from 1 species